AAACCAGAAGAGAAGAGAAACCAAGGAAGAACAAACCCUAGGUGGAGAAAUUCAAGAGAAAAUUGGUGAAAAUUCAAGGAAACAAGUGACAAAAGGUAAAAUUUCUUGAUUUUGACUUGUGAUCUACCUUUCCCAUGCAUUUUUCCUCAUUUUCCAUGGUUAAAUAACAUGUUUUCAUGAUUAAUUCAUGGCUGGUCAAAAUGGGUAUGGAGAGAGAAAGAUGUUGGAUUGAAUUGAUUUUAAGAUAUGUUAGUGUUUUUAGUUAGUUUAGCAUAUUUAGAAGCAAAACAAUAAGAAAAGAAUCCAUUUUCCCCAUGAAUCUUCAUGGCCGAAUCUUCCUUGAUGUGUGUAGGUGAUGGAUUGUUAUUAUUUCAAGAGAAAUGACUUAGAAAAUGAUGAAUAAUGGUGAGAAAAUUAAGUAGGAAAAAUCACGGUGUUAGUGUACUAUAAUGGCCGAAUUUUUCCAUGAAGAAUGGGAGGGUUUUGAUGCUGAAAUUAAUGUUAUUUGAAUUGUAUUUAGUGAAUUAAGAUAUUAGAAAUGAAAUGGAGCAAUUUGGAGCCAAAUCGGACACAAUUGUCAUUUAAUCGAGUAAUAGGCCGAAUUAGGUCAACACCGCAUUUAAGCGGUAGUCGGAUAAGUUGCAUAUCAUAUGAUGCAUAUACAUCGAGCCCGAAUUGAUUUUAUAAUGGUCAAGCAUUGAUGUGCUGAAUUAUGUAAUGUACGUUAUAGAUAGGUGGUGAGCAAAUUACACUGGUAAAAGUACAGAGAUUAUACUUGAAGACUUAGAUUAGGAGUACAUCGACUCUUAGAAUUGUGAGUAAACUUAUUAUCGUCUUAAUUAUCUAGAGUAGUUUUAUACAAUUGUGUGAUUUUAUAGAAAAUGGGUUUAAAUGGGAAAUUGCUAUGUUUUAGGAGAAAUUAUGAUUUUAUAAAUUUUUUAAAAAAUUGAAUACUGAUUUUGAAAUUAGAGUAAUUGAAAACUGUCUGCUUGUGUUAUAAAUUGUGUUUUAAAUUAUAUGGCUUAUAGCAAUAUGUGAGCAUGAAUGGCAAAGUCAAUAUUUGAAUCAAAAUUAUAUAUACUAUGUAUUCAGCCUUGAGAGGCUAGAUUGCGAUAAAUUACCAUGUCAUGCAGAUAAAGAUUUUAUAAAUCAGGUGGUAGAUAACAUAAUCCAUAAUCCCUGAAGUGGAGGUUCUGUGGACUAGCCUAAGAGAAGGGGCACAGAAUCAGAUAUACCUUACCUCGAUCGGAGAGCCGUGUGGAGGGUAUCUCUGGAGGUAAAGAUUUAAGUGCACUUUACGUGGACCACUGCGUGAGAGUGAGACUCAGCCAACAUCAAGGCAUGGCUAGAAUUUCGGAUGUAAAGACAUUUAACAGCCUUAGUGGUCUCGGUCAUAUGCCUAGGCCAAGGCAUCUCGAGGAAUGAUUUUGACAGGAGCCAAGUUUUGUGAGAUAUAUAAGCCAUGUUGAUUAAUUGAGUAAACUGAAUAUUCAUGUUAUGAAACAUAUAUUGAAAAAGAAUAUUUUAAUUCGUCUCCAUUUACUCGCCUUUAGAUAGUUU
rnacentral:lncRNA from 1 species